CAGCCGUCCACGAAGCUUCCGCCCGGAUCUCAUCCGUGAUCGACUCCUCCCCGCGUUUCUCCCACCGCGUGCCAGCAGCCCACCUUCCGCUUCAGCUCCCAGCAGCACCCGAAGAAGGAAGCCCCAGCCCCCUCUUCCGCAAUCACCGGCGAUCCCGCAUCCGUGGCCCAAAGAAGCAAGAUCGUGCCCACCUUCCGCUUCCAUGCCGUCGAUCUCGCAGCAUCCCUAGCCUCCCGCGCUCGAUUUCAGCACCCGUCCACGGAUCCGCUUCUCCCAGCCUUCGUCCAAGGGCUAUAAGAAGGGAGGAGGGCCAAGGGAGAAGAGUGCUCGGUUGAGGGCCAAAGAAACAGAGUGCUCGGUUGGGGGUGGAGUCCAAGGAGGAGGAGGUCAGCUCGGUGCGGGCUGGUUCAAGAAGGAACAGGGGAGAGUUCGGUUUGGGGAAGAAGAAGAGAAAUGCUCUGUUUUCUCUUUUGAAAACAGAGCAUGUUCUGUUUGUUUUUUUUAGUUUUCUUUUUGUUUUAUUAAG
rnacentral:lncRNA from 1 species